UCCGGGAAUGCCAAAUUCUUAAAUGGUAGAAGGAUCGCUGUGAAGGUAGGCGAGAACACUGGUCUAACUACGACAAGCGUUUCUUUCUUUUAAUUUAUAUGCCGAAGUUGAGCACAUCCCGAAUAUAGAAGGUGUAAUUAAUUUUAUUGGUGUAUGUUGUACAAGCUUAAGGCCUGAUCUCCAAAAGUAUAUGCCACGUAAGUUAACUUUUAAUACUCAUUGCUUUUAAUAUAAUGUUACACGGUGUUAUCAUGCA
rnacentral:lncRNA from 1 species